rnacentral:rRNA from 1 species
GAAUAUUGCACAAUGGGCGAAAGCCUGAUGCAGCGACGCCGCGUGAGGGAUGACGGCCUUCGGGUUGUAAACCUCUUUCAGCAGGGAAGAAGCGCAAGUGACGGUACCUGCAGAAGAAGCGCCGGCUAACUACGUGCCAGCAGCCGCGGUAAUACGUAGGGCGCAAGCGUUGUCCGGAAUUAUUUGGCGUAAAGAGCUCGUAGGCGGUUUGUCGCGUCUGGUGUGAAAACCUCAGGCUCAACCUGGGGCGUGCAUCGGGUACGGGCAGACUAGAGUGCGGUAGGGGAGACUGGAAUUCCUGGUGUAGCGGUGGAAUGCGCAGAUAUCAGGAGGAACACCGAUGGCGAAGGCAGGUCUCUGGGCCGCAACUGACGCUGAGGCACGAAAGCGUGGGGAGCGAACAGG